rnacentral:rRNA from 1 species
GAUGAACGCUGGCGGCGUGCCUAAUACAUGCAAGUCGAGCGAACGGACGAGAAGCUUGCUUCUCUGAUGUUAGCGGCGGACGGGUGAGUAACACGUGGAUAACCUACCUAUAAGACUGGGAUAACUUCGGGAAACCGUAGCUAAUACCGGAUAAUAUUUUGAACCGCAUGGUUCAAAAGUGAAAGACGGUCUUGCUGUCACUUAUAGAUGGAUCCGCGCUGCAUUAGCAAGUUGGUAAGGUAACGGCUUACCAAGGCCACGAUGCAUAGCCGACCUGAGAGGGGGAUGGGCCACACUGGAACUGAGACACGGUCCAGACUCCUACGGGAGGCAGCGGUAGGUAAGCUUCCGCAAUGGGCGAAAGCCUGACGGAGCAACGCCGCGUGAGUGAUGAAGGUCUUCGGAUCGUAAAACUCUGUUAUUAGUGAAGAACAUAUGUGUAAGUAACUGUGCACAUCUUGACGGUACCUAAUCAGAAAGCCACGGCUAACUACGUG